rnacentral:rRNA from 1 species
UACGGAGGGAGCUAGCGUUGUUCGGAAUUACUGGGCGUAAAGCGCGCGUAGGCGGUUUCUCAAGUCAGAGGUGAAAGCCCGGGGCUCAACCCCGGAAUUGCCUUUAAGACUGCAUCGCUAGAAUUGUGGAGAGGUAAGUGGAAUUCCGAGUGUAGAGGUGAAAUUCGUAGAUAUUCGGAAAGAACACCAGUGGCGAAGGACGACUUAC